UACGUAGGGUGCGAGCGUUGUCCGGAUUUAUUGGGCGUAAAGAGCUUGUAGGCGGCUCGUCACGUCGGGUGUGAAAACUCGCGGCUCAACCGCGAGCCUGCACCCGAUACGGGCGGGCUGGAGUUCGGCAGGGGAGACUGGAAUUCCUGGUGUAGCGGUGGAAUGCGCAGAUAUCAGGAGGAACACCGGUGGCGAAGGCGGGUCUCUGGGCCGAUACUGACGCUGAGAAGCGAAGCGUGGGGAGCGAACAGG
rnacentral:rRNA from 1 species